rnacentral:rRNA from 1 species
AUUGAACGCUGGCGGCAGGCCUAACACAUGCAAGUCGAGCGGAUGAAGGGGGCUUGCUCCUGGAUUCAGCGGCGGACGGGUGAGUAAUGCCUAGGAAUCUGCCUGGUAGUGGGGGAUAACGUCCGGAAACGGGCGCUAAUACCGCAUACGUCCUGAGGGAGAAAGUGGGGGAUCUUCGGACCUCACGCUAUCAGAUGAGCCUAGGUCGGAUUAGCUAGUUGGUGGGGUAAAGGCCUACCAAGGCGACGAUCCGUAACUGGUCUGAGAGGAUGAUCAGUCACACUGGAACUGAGACACGGUCCAGACUCCUACGGGAGGCAGCAGUGGGGAAUAUUGGACAAAGGGCGAAAGCCUGAUCCAGCCAUGCCGCGUGUGUGAAGAAGGUCUUCGGAUUGUAAAGCACUUUAAGUUGGGAGGAAGGGCAGUAAGUUAAUACCUUGCUGUUUUGACGUUACCAACGGAAUAAGCACCGGCUAACUUCGUG